rnacentral:rRNA from 1 species
AUGAACGCUGGCGGCGUGCCUAACACAUGCCAGUCGAGCGAACAGACGAGGAGCUUGCUCCUCUGACGUUAGCGGCGGACGGGUGAGUAACACGUGGAUAACCUACCUAUAAGACUGGGAUAACUUCGGGAAACCGGAGCUAAUACCGGAUAAUAUAUUGAACCGCAUGGUUCAAUAGUGAAAGACGGUUUUGCUGUCACUUAUAGAUGGAUCCGCGCCGCAUUAGCUAGUUGGUAAGGUAACGGCUUACCAAGGCGACGAUGCGUAGCCGACCUGAGAGGGUGAUCGGCCACACUGGAACUGAGACACGGUCCAGACUCCUACGGGAGGCAGCAGUAGGGAAUCUUCCGCAAUGGGCGAAAGCUUGACGGAGCAACGCCGCGUGAGUGAUGAAGGUCUUCGGAUCGUAAAACUCUGUUAUUAGGGAAGAACAAAUGUGUAAGUAACUAUGCACGUCUUGACGGUACCUAAUCAGAAAGCCACGGCUAACUACGUG